rnacentral:tRNA from 1 species
UGGGCUGUGGCUCAGUGGGUAGAGCGCUUGCUUGGCAUGUAUGUGGCACUGGGUUCGAGUCUCAGCACUGCAU